rnacentral:rRNA from 1 species
UACGUAGGGUGCAAGCGUUGUCCGGAAUUAUUGGGCGUAAAGGGAGCGUAGGCGGGUUCUUAAGUUAGGUGUUUAAUCCCGGGGCCCAACCCCGGACCGGCACUUAAAACUGGGAAUCUUGAAUAGUGGAGAGGUCAGUGGAAUUGGAGGUGUAGCGGUGGAAUGCGUAGAGAUCUCCAAGAACACCAGUUGCGAAGGCGGCUGACUGGACACAUAUUGACGCUGAGGCUCGAAAGCAUGGGGAGCAAACAGG